rnacentral:rRNA from 1 species
GCCAGCAGCUAGCUCUCUGCAGCUCCCACAUGGUCGCCCACUGAAGCUAAGCAGGGCUGCGCCCGAUCAGUACCUGGAUGGGAGACCACAUGGGAAAGCUAGGUUGCUGCCGGAA